rnacentral:rRNA from 1 species
AGCUCCAAUAGUGUAUAUUAAAGUUGUUGCAGUUAAAAAGAUCGUAGUUGAAUUUCUGGUGGGAAUGAUCGGUCCAGCACUCAUAUGUCGGUACGCGUAUUGUCUUCGACCAUCCUUAGGAGAAGCAUGUUUGGCAUUAAGUUGUCGAGCAGAUGAUACCCAUUAUUUAAUAUGAAAAAUUAGAGUGUUCAAAGCAGGCUUAGGCGGUGGAAUAUAUUAGCCUGGAAUAAUAAGAUAGGAUUUUGGUACUAUUUUGUUGAUUUGCACACCGGGGUAAUGAUUAAUAGAGACAGUUGGGGGUAUUUGUAUUCUGUUAUCAGAGGUGAAAUUAUUGGAUUUAUGGAAGACAAACUACUACGAAAGUAUUUAUAAAGGAUAUUUUAA